rnacentral:rRNA from 1 species
CUCCGAAUGCAUCUCGAUUAGUUAUUUGAUCCUGGCUCAGAAUCAACGCUGGCGGCGUGCCUAACACAUGCAAGUCGAACGCGAAAGUCCCGCAAGGGAUAAGUAGAGUGGCAAACGGGUGAGUAACGCGUGGGCGACCUACCUUCGAGUGGGGGAUAACCUUCCGAAAGGAGGGCUAAUACCGCAUGACAUCCCGUGUUUGGAUACACGGACAUCAAAGUCGGGGAUCGCAAGACCUGACGCUUGAAGAGGGGCCCGCGUCCGAUUAGCUAGUUGGUGGGGUAACGGCUCACCAAUGGCUCCGAUCGGUAUCCUGGCCUGAGAGGGCGGACGGACACACUGGAACUGAGACACGGUCCAGACUCCUACGGGAGGCAGCAGUGGGGAAUUGUUCGCAAUGGGCGCAAGCCUGACGACUGCAACGCCUGCGUGGAGGAUGAAGACCUUCGGGUCGUAAACUCCUUUCGACCGAGAUGAAUUCCU